GACCGCACUCACUGUUCGGCGGCAUCUCUCGCAGCAACACUAACACUCCCGGAUUGUUCUCACGCACGGACACAGACGCCAACUUGGGUUACCGCUACAACAUCAACGACAGAUCUUCCCUCACCGUCUCCGGACACCACAGGAAUUCUGAUUUCGGGCCCUUCGGAAGCCAUUCUGACCAGACUUUCAGGUUGGGCGGCGCAUUUUCCUUUUGAGUUCUCGCCUCAAGAUCGAGGAGAAAUUACUUAGUUUUGUUUUAAUGUAUUGGUGCAUUUUGGUCCUUUUGAAUCAAUAAAGAUGGUAAACAAAUGCGUAAU